rnacentral:rRNA from 1 species
AACUUUCAACAACGGAUCUCUUGGCUCUCGCAUCGAUGAAGAACGCAGCGAAAUGCGAUAAGUAAUGUGAAUUGCAGAAUUCAGUGAAUCAUCGAAUCUUUGAACGCACCUUGCGUCCCUUGGUAUUCCGAGGGGCAUGCCUGUUUGAGUGUCA